CCAGCUACUAGGAGGAAAAUUAACUCUGUCCUACCUGAAACCAGGAAACUUUCCUUGUUGGUGAGAAUGCAGCAUAGAGCCUCUCCUCAUUGGCUCCUCUAUCAUUUCAGAAAGGAAGUUACCAUCAGUGCAUUCCAGGAACCUUCUGGAUUACUUAUGCCCUGCUAUGUCCCUCCAACAGAUACCAGGGUGGUUGAAGUCUCCGCAUGAAGGCCAGGGCUUGGGAAGCAACAGAGAAAAUUCAGGGAUGCAAUGAAGAGUUAGGCCCUUUCUAACAGCAUGAGUCUCUGCUGAAAGGGAAUUGCCUCAUGAUGCAAAAAGAAUGGAAGCCUGUAUACGGAUGAAGAAUUCCAAGGGGCAGGAAGGAAACUAGUUGAUUGAAUGAGAUGUCCGUGAAAUAAAAAACGAUGCAAUGCCUGACCACAGAUGAACCUGGCUUAACCCUGAACAUUUUACCAAGAUGACUGAUUCAACCACCUCUUCUGUGGCAUCUUCAAUAAGCUGUUCUUCUUCUUGGCUGAAGUAGGCAAGAUAUAACAAGGAUGAAGAAUAUCCUAUAAAAAUGGAAUCAAGAUCCCAAAUGAAUUACAAGCUACUAUGUCAAAUACUAAUAUUAGGGGCUACUACUUUUCUUUUAGAGAAGUGAAAUUUAGGCA